rnacentral:rRNA from 1 species
GACGAACGCUGGCGGCGUGCCUAACACAUGCAAGUCGAACGGGACUUGAGGGGCUUGCUCCUUAAGUUUAGUGGCGAACGGGUGAGUAACGCGUGAGGAACCUGCCUUUCAGUGGGGGACAACAGUUGGAAACGACUGCUAAUACCGCAUAACAUAAUCGAACCGCAUGAUUUGAUUGUCAAAGCUUUAUGUGCUGAAAGAUGGCCUCGCGUCUGAUUAGCUAGUUGGAGGGGUAACGGCCCACCAAGGCGACGAUCAGUAGCCGGUCUGAGAGGAUGAACGGCCACAUUGGGACUGAGAUACGGCCCAGACUCCUACGGGAGGCAGCAGUGGGGAAUAUUGGGCAAUGGGGGAAACCCUGACCCAGCAACGCCGCGUGAAGGAAGAAGGCUUUCGGGUUGUAAACUUCUUUUACCAGGGACGAAGAACGUGACGGUACCUGGAGAAAAAGCAACGGCUAACUACGUGCCAGCAGCCGCCGCGGUAA